rnacentral:rRNA from 1 species
AACGAACGCUGGCGGCGUGCCUAACACAUGCAAGUCGUGCGAGAAAGUUCCUUCGGGAGCGAGUAAAGCGGCGCACGGGUGAGUAACACGUAGGUAACCUGCCCCCCAGUCUGGAACAACUAGAGGAAACUCUAGCUAAUGCCGGAUGAGACCACGAUCCCUUCGGGGGUUGCGGCCAAAGAUGGCCUCUACUUGUAAGCUAUCGCUGAGGGAUGGGGCCUGCGGGCCAUUAGCUUGUUGGUGAGGUAACGGCUCACCAAGGCUGUGAUGGCUAGCUGGUCUGAGAGGAUGACCAGCCACACUGGGACUGAGACACGGCCCAGACUCCUACGGGAGGCAGCAGUGGGGAAUAUUGCGCAAUGGGCGAAAGCCUGACGCAGCGACGCCGCGUGGGUGAU